AAGCUCGUAGUUGAAUUUCGGGAUCAGUACGCUGGUCAUGCCUUUGGUAUGCACUGGUGUCACUGGUUUCUCCCUUCUGAAGAACCGUGAUGUCAUUAAUUUGGUGUCGCGGGGAAUCAGGACUGUUACUUUGAAAAAAUUAGAGUGUUUAAAGCAGGCUCACGCUUGAAUACAUUAGCAUGGAAUAAUGAAAUAGGACGUUUGACCCUAUUUUGUUGGUUUCUAGGAUCGACGUAAUGAUUAAUAGGGAUAGUUGGG
rnacentral:rRNA from 1 species